UACGGAGGGAGCUAGCGUUGUUCGGAAUUACUGGGCGUAAAGCGCACGUAGGCGGCUUUGUAAGUUAGAGGUGAAAGCCCGGGGCUCAACCCCGGAAUUGCCUUUAAGACUGCAUCGCUUGAAUCCGGGAGAGGUGAGUGGAAUUCCGAGUGUAGAGGUGAAAUGCGCAGAUAUCAGGAGGAACACCGGUGGCGAAGGCGGUUCUCUGGGCCUGUACUGACGCUGAGACGCGAAAGCGUGGGGAGCGAACAGG
rnacentral:rRNA from 1 species